rnacentral:antisense_RNA from 1 species
UGUAAUGGCGGCUGUGCGUGUGGGCACCUUCGGGUGCGCCGGGUCUCCUAGCCCUCGGUCUGCUAACCCACGUACAGCUGCCACCCAC